CCGACGGUGAGAGGCGAAAGCUGGGGGAGCAAACCGGAUUAGAUACCCUGGUAGUCCCAGCUGUAAACGAUGCGCGUUAGGUGUGUCAGUGACCACGUGUCACUGAUGUGCCGAAGGGAAACCGUGAAACGCGCCGCCUGGGGAGUACGGUCGCAAGGCUGAAACCUAAAGGAAUUGGCGGGGGAGCACCACAACGGGUGGAGCCUGCGGUUUAAUCGGACUCAACGCCGGAAAUCUCACCGGAUAA
rnacentral:rRNA from 1 species